rnacentral:rRNA from 1 species
GAUGAACGCUGGCGGCGUGCCUAAUACAUGCCAGUCGAGCGAACAGACGAGGAGCUUGCUCCUCUGACGUUAGCGGCGGACGGGUGAGUAAGAAGUGGAUAACCUACCUAUAAGACUGGGAUAACUUCGGGAAACCGGAGCUACUAAUGGAUAAUAUAUUGUACCGCAUGGUUCAAUAGUGAUAGACGGUUUUCCCGUUACUUAUAGAUGGAUUCGCGGCGCAUUAGCUGCUUGGUAAGGUACCGGCCCACCAAGGCGACGAUGCGUAGCUGAGCUGAGAGGAUGAGGAGCCACAUGGGGAAUGAGACACGGUCAAGACAGCUACGGGAGGCGGCAGUGGGGAAUAUUGGAAAAGGGGCGGAAUACUGAUCAAGCAAUACCGAGGGGGUGAAGAAGGAAUUAGGGUUGUAAAGACCUUUUGUUGGGAAAGAAAAGCAGCAGGUUAAUAACACGCUGUUAUGAGGGUACCAAAAGAAUAAGCACCGGCUAACUUCGUG